AACGAACGCUGGCGGCGCGCCUAAUACAUGCAAGUCGAGCGAGAAGACGUAGCAAUACGUUUGUAAAGCGGCGAACGGGUGAGGAAUACAUGGGUGACCUACCCUCGAGUGGGGAAUAACCAGCCGAAAGGUUGGCUAAUACCGCGUACGCUUCCCAGUCUACGGGUUGGGAAGGAAAGCGAUGCCGUGGGUAUCGCGCUCAAGGUUGGGCUCAUGUCCUAUCAGCUUGUUGGUGGGGAACGGCUCACCAAGGCAACGACGGGUAGCUGGUCUGAGAGGACGAUCAGCCACACUGGCACUGCGACACGGGCCAGACUCCUACGGGAGCAGCAGUAAGGAAUAUUGCGCAAAUGGGCGAAAGCCUGACGCAGCGACGCCGCGUGGGGGA
rnacentral:rRNA from 1 species